rfam:Sulfolobus solfataricus P2, complete genome.
GCCGGGGUGCCCGAGCGGACUAAGGGGCUGGCCUGGAGAGCCAGUGGGGGUUUCCCCGCGCGGGUUCAAAUCCCGCCCCCGGCG